rnacentral:siRNA from 1 species
CCAAUGAAGUAACUUAUGGAC